UUCUAAAAACAAAAGUUUCGAAGCCAAGAGUUACUUUUAAAAACAGCAAAGUGAUAAAAAAAUAUUUCUGGAGUUGAAGAAAAAUUGAGAAAAUAGUACAUCUACUAGGGCUGUGCCAGGGCAACUAAAAGAAAAAUAAAACGAAAAUGGUGCGAUAAAGAGAAUUAAAAACGUGGCAUUGUAGCACUGGCUGGUCGGAAAGACAGUGUCAAAUCUGAAAAGGAUGAAUCCACGUCAUGUCGCCGUUAAUUUGCAGUCAUUUCAAAGUAAUAA
rnacentral:lncRNA from 1 species